rnacentral:rRNA from 1 species
GAUGAACGCUGGCGGCGUGCCUAAUACAUGCAAGUCGAGCGAACGGACGAGAAGCUUGCUUCUCUGAUGUUAGCGGCGGACGGGCGAGUAACACGUGGAUAACCUACCUAUAAGACUGGGAUAACUUCGGGAAACCGGAGCUAAUACCGGAUAAUAUUUUGAACCGCAUGGUUCAAAAGUGAAAGACGGUCUUGCUGUCACUUAUAGAUGGAUCCGCGCUGCAUUAGCUAGUUGGUAAGGUAACGGCUUACCAAGGCAACGAUGCAUAGCCGACCUGAGAGGGUGAUCGGCCACACUGGAACUGAGACACGGUCCAGACUCCUACGGGAGGCAGCAGUAGGGAAUCUUACGCAAUGGGCGAAAGCCUGACGGAGCAACGCCGCGUGAGUGAUGAAGGUCUUCGGAUCGUAAAACUCUGUUAUUAGGGAAGAACAUAUGUGUAAGUAACUGUGCACAUCUUGACGGUACCUAAUCAGAAAGCCACGGCUAACUACGUG